CCUACGGGUGGCAGCAGUGGGGAAUAUUGGACAAUGGGCGAAAGCCUGAUCCAGCCAUGCCGCGUGUGUGAAGAAGGCCUUCGGGUUGUAAAGCACUUUCAGUGGGGAAGAAAGCCUUGGGGCUAAUACCCUCGAGGAAGGACAUCACCCACAGAAGAAGCACCGGCUAACUCCGUGCCAGCAGCCGCGGUAAUACGGAGGGUGCGAGCGUUAAUCGGAAUUACUGGGCGUAAAGCGCGCGUAGGCGGUCUGAUAAGCCGGUUGUGAAAGCCCCGGGCUCAACCUGGGAACGGCAUCCGGAACUGUCAGGCUAGAGUGCAGUUGAGGAAGGUAGAAUUCCCGGUGUAGCGGUGAAAUGCGUAGAGAUCGGGAGGAAUACCAGUGGCGAAGGCGGCCUUCUGGACUGACACUGACGCUGAGGUGCGAAAGCGUGGGUAGCAAACAGGAUUAGAUACCCCAGUAGUC
rnacentral:rRNA from 1 species